CUAUUGGCCCGUUUGAACGAAUGUUUGAUUUGUGAUUGGCUUUCGCGUCUGUCGAUCAAACCUAGGGUCUCCAAAGCAAUUACCCUCCCCCUCGUUUGCGGAUAGGUUGAACAGCAUGGCUCAGAAACAAAAAGAGGCCCUUACGAUAUGCAAGAUGUCCCAGUUUAAGUGUAGAACAACUUUGUGUUGUUUGUUUCGCUUGAAAUUAAGUUUAAUUAAAAGAAUAUGCGCUUUAAAUAAUGGAGAGCGCACAACAGAAGUCUUUCGCUGCAGACCCUGGAAUCCUCUCUGCUCAGCAGUUAUUGAAGUGAGGAGAAGGUACGUCUCCAUGGCAACCAGGGUGAAAUGUGACCUGGACAUAUGUGCUGAGAUGCGUUCAUGUAGGAAUCUCGUUAAUUUUGCACUAAUGCUUUGAAUGGAAACAUUUUAUACAUUUAAUGGCAAUUUUUUUAAAUGCUCCAAGAAAAACCAGUAACUGUUUGUCCAUUGCUAGGCUAACAAAAUGACACAAGAGGGCAGUAUGGCACUGCUAUGAUAUGAUUUGCGUAGAAAUUAUAAUCUAGUUUUGUACAGAGAUAGGACUGAUAAUGAAGUGUUGGUGUUUCUGUUUGUUUUUCAUCUGGGUUUGUUUGCAAGACCUUGUCCGUGUAAUUUCUGUAUGUGGGUUUUUAAUUUUUGUAUUUUGCAUCUG